rnacentral:tRNA from 1 species
GCCUAGCUGGCUUAGUUGGUAGAGCAUCUGACUCUUGAUCUCAAGGUCCUGAGUUCAAGCCCCAUAUUGGGCA